ensembl:lncRNA SNHG14 small nucleolar RNA host gene 14
GUGUCUGUCAGCCAGUUUCCCAGCCCCUGGUGCACUGAAGCUCAGGCCUUUCCUGGCAUCCUGGCCUCCUGCACUGAGCUGUGUGAGUGCUUCUGCCCAGGCAGGCCACUUGGCAUUGACCGGUAUAGAUGGUGACCCUGAAGAAAGACUUCAGUUGGGCCUGAAGGCCCCGGGCCAGUGUCCAUCAUCCAGGUGCUCAGCUCCCAGUGCACUGAAGCUCAGACCCUUCCUGGUUCCCUGGUCUCUUGCACUGAGCUCUGAUGGUGAGACUUGAGGAAGACUUCCACUGGGCCUGCUUUUCCUGAGCCAGUGCCCAUCACCCAGGUGCUCAGUCCCUGGUGCACUGAAGCUCCAGCCCUUCCUGGCGCCCUGGUCUCCUGAACUGAGCUGUGUGAGCUCUUCUGCCAAGCGGUUCCCCUGGCAUUGACCAACAUAGAUGGUGAGCCUGGAGGAAGACUUGCGUUGGGCCCAAAGGCCCUAGACCAGUGUCUGUCAGCCAGGUUCCCAACCCCCGAUGCGCUGAAGCUCAAGCCUUUCCUGGCACCCUGGUCUCCUGCACUGAGCUGUGUGAGCUCUUCUGCCCAGGCGGGCCCCCUGGAAUUGAUGGGUAUAGAUGGUGACCCCGGAGGAAAAUUUGUGUUGGGCCCACUAUCCCUGGGCCAAUGUCAGUCAGCUAGGCACCCAGCCCCCAGUGCGCUGAAGCUCAGGACCUUCCUAGUGCCCUCGGCUCCUGCACUGAGCUCUGAUGGUAAGCCUGGAGGAAGACUUGUGUUGGGCCCACAGGCCCCAGGCCAAUGUCUGUCAGCCAGGUGCUCAGCCUCUGGUGCGCUGAAACUCUGACCCUUCCUGGCACACUGGUCUCCUGCACUGAGCUGGGAUUUUCCACCUAGGAGGUCCACCUGGCAUUGACUGACAUAGAUGGUGAGACUUCUGUCGGCCUCGCUUUUCCUGGGCCAGUGUCCAUCAGCCAGGUGCUCAGCCCCAGUGCACUGAAGCUCCAGCCCUUCCUGGCGCCCUGGACUGAGCUGUGUGAGCUCUUCUGCCAAGGGGGUCCUCCUGGCAUUGACCAACAUAGGUGGUGAGCCUGGAGGAAGACUUGCAUUGGGCCCAAUGGCCCUGGACCAGUGUCUGUCAGCCAGGUUCCCAGCCCCCGAUGCGCUGAAGCUCAAGCCUUUCCUGGCACCCUGGUCUCCUGCACUGAGCUGUGUGAGCUCUUCGGCCCAAGUGGUCCCCCCGGCCUUAAGCGGCAUAGUGAGCUCUUCCAAACAGGUGGGCUCCCUAGCAUUGACCGACAGAGUGAGCUCUGCCACCCAGGACAUCCCCCUGGCAUUGACUGGCAUAGAUGCUGACCCUGGAGGAAGACUUGUGUCGGGCCCCCAGGCCCCAGGCCAGUGUCCAUCAGCCAGGUGCUCAGCUCCCAGUGCGCUGAAGCUCAGACCCUUCCUGGCACCCUGGUGUCCAGCACUGAGCUGUGUGAGCUUUUCCACCCAGGUGGGCCCCCUGGCAUUGACCGACAUAGAUGAUGAGACUGGAGGAAGACUUCCAUUGGGCCCACUUUUCCUGGGCCAGUGUCCAUCAGCCAGGUGCUCAGCCCCUGGUGUACUGAAGCUCCAGCCUUUCCUGGUGCCCCAGUCUUCUGCACUAAGCUGUGUGAGCUCUUCCACCCAGGAGGGCCCCUUGGCAUUGACUGGCAUAGAUGGUGAGACGGGAGGAAGACUUGUGUUGGGCCUGCUGUUCCUGGGCCAGUGGCCAUCAGCCUGUUGCCCAGCCCCUGAGGCGCUGAAGCUCAGGCCCUUCCUCACACCCUGGUCUCCUGCACUAGCUGUGUGAGCUCUUCUGCCCAGGUGGGGCCCAUGGCCUUACACGACAUAGGAGCACGCAUUUCUUGAAGUCCUGCAAAGGUGAUGGUGGUCCAGACAGGAGAGGGUUCCUUCAGCCCAACAUAGCGCAGCUCCCAGCUGAAACUCGGAAGGCUGGUCAGGCCUCGAGGACUGCCCAGGCCACAUGAGGGUUUGGUGGCCGGGAGGGCCAAUGAUGCUCUGCGUCUGUGUUGGAUCAGUGUUCUUCAUGGAUUCCAUCACAUGGUGAGCCUUGAGGAAGACUUGUAUUGGGCCCCCACAGGCCCCAGGCCAGUGUCCGUCAGCCUGGUGCUCACCCCCAGUGUGCUGAAGCUCAGACCCUCCGUGGCACCCUGGUCUCCUGCACUGAGCUGUGUGAACUUUUCCUCCCAGAUGGGCCCCCUGGCAUUGACUGGCAUAGAUGGUGAGACCGGAGGAAGACUUGCAUUGGGCCUGUUGUUCCUGGGCCAGUGGCCAUCAGCCUGUUGCCCAGCCCCUGAUGCGCUGAAGCUCGGGCCCUUCCUCGCGCCCUGGUCUCCUGCACUGAGCUGUGUGAGCUCUUCUGCCCAGGUGAGGCCCAUGGCCUUAAGCGGCAUAGAUGGUGAGCCUGGAGGAAGACUUGUAUUGGGACCCUACAGGCCCCAGGCCAGUGUCUGUCAGCCUGGUGCUCAUCCCCCAGUGCGCUGAAGCUCAGACCCUCCCUGGCACCCUGGUCUCCUGCACUGAGCUGUGAUGGUGAGUCUGGAGGAAGACUUGUGUUGGACCCCCACAGGCCCCAGGCCAGUGUCCAUCAGCCUGGUGCUAAUCCCCCAGUGCUCUGGAGUUUGGACCCUCCCUGGCACCCUGGUCUCCUGCACUGAGCUGUGUGAGCUCUUCCACCCGGGCGGGCCCCCGGCAUUGACUGGCAUAGGUGGUGAGCCCGGAGGAGGACUUGCGUUCGGCCCGCUGGUCCCAGUGUGUCCGGAAUUGGUGGGUUCUUGGUCUCACUGACUUCAAGAAUGAAGCUGCGGACCCUCGCUAUGAUGAUAUGGAAGAAAAGCACUCUUUGGCCUGUUGUGACUGGGACAGUUGACAGCACCCAGGUGUCCUUUAAUGAAAAUGCUCUUGACACCAAUGCAUCCUAGCAUCACAGCUUCAGGAAGCCUUCUCAAGUGUGCAUGGGGAGUACUAUGUCUUUCAUCAAUAAUGAAAUCUUCUGAUUUGUAAGACAUGCUGCCAAGAGAUGUGCCAUUCUAUUAUAAAAGAUCAGUAGCUUCCUUUACCGACGUGUAUAUUCUAUCUAGAACAUUGAGCUAUGGAAGACUCCCACCUAAGGGAAUUAGUUUUACACCUUCAGAUAAAGACUGCUGAGAAGAGCACCCUCUGGUGUUGUCACAGAGGCAAGUGCUACCGCACAGGCAUGCUGCAGUGAAUUUAACUGAUCCUCUGUCCCUGCAACCGUUGUUUAAGGAUGCUAUUCUGAAAAGACUGUGGAGGAAGAAAACCCUUUACCCUGUUGUUCAGGGAGAAACUGACACCACUCAACUGCCUGGCACUGAAAAUGUGGCAUCCAGUCCACUUUACCAUCAGUGUUUAAGGAAACCAUCUCUGAUAAGGAUGACUGAGGAAGAGUACUCUUUGGCUUGUUGACACCAGCACAGCUGACACACCCAGAUAUCUGUUUGGUCUCCUGUGAACUUUCAACCAGGAUUUAAGGAUGCCACUCUGGUUAAAAGCUGAAACAACUUCAAGGAAACUUCAGGGAAAAGAGAAGGCCUGGAAUCUGAUCCUCCACUUCAGAGAACAGGGGUGGUGGAGUCUAUGGCCCUUCUCCUUGAAUCUGAGUGAAAUUAGUGAGUCUUUCAAUCCAAAGACUACAGUCAUACCUCAACUAUCUACAGAGGACUGGUUCCAGGACUCCCAUGGAUCCCAAAAUCCAAGGAUGCUUCGAAUCCCUUAUAUAAAAUGGCAUGGUAUUUGCAUAUAACCUACAUGCAUCUUCAAAUAUGUUAAACCAUCUCUAGAUUACUUAUAAUACCAAAUACAAUGUAAUGCUAUGUAAACAGUUGUUACAAUGUAUUGUCAAAGACAAGCUCUCCUUGCCAAUCCCUGACCAAAUGAGAGAUUCAUGAGCAAAAUAAAUAGUUGCUGAUAUUUAAGGCACUAAGUUUGGGGCAAUGUAUUACACAGCAAUAAAUAACUGGAACAGCAUAGUAAAUUCUAGUUAAAAAUACUAAACUACUAAGUUUUAGUUAACAUACAUGCUCAAGUUAAGGGUGUGGUAUACUAACAACUGCAACUUACUUUGAAAAGCAUAAAAAAAGACACUAGAAGAAGACAGGAUGGAUAGAUGGACAAGAUAGAAGACAAUAACAAAUAGAACAAAAUGUUGUGAAAUUAUAUUCUACAAUUAUUUUAAAGUCUGUGUGGUUUGAAAAAUUGUACGAUAAAAUGAAGAGUGAAAUAAAGACAUUUCCAUACAAACAAAAGCUGAAAGAUUUUGUAGCCAGUAGACCUAUACUUUAGAAAUGUUUAAGAAAUUUUUUCAAGUAAAAGGAAAAUAACACCAGCAACAAACUUGGAUCUACAAAAAGGAAUCUCCACAAAGAAAAAUAAAUAAAAAUGGUAAAUAUGAAGGUAAAUAUAAAGGAAUGUUAUUCUUAGUUUUUAAGUUUCUUCGUAAGACAACUGGCCUUUGAAAGAAAUAGUUUCAAACGCUGCUGUGGAAUCUAUAACACAUAUAGAAGUAAAAUGUUAAGAUCAUAAUACCAAAAAGAAUGAGGGAGAGUAAAUGGAUGUAUACUAUUCCAAAAUUCUUACAUUAUACAUUAAGAGGAAUAAUAUUUUUGAAGGUAGAUUGAGGUAAGUUAAAGGUGCAUAUUGUAAAUCCUAGAAGUAUCACUGGGGGGAAAAAAAACAGAGGGACAAGCUAAUAAUGGAGACAAUACAAAAUUCCAAAAAUGCUCCAUUAACCGAAAAGAAGGCAGAAAAGGAAGAAAAGAUUAGACAAAUAGAAAACAAAUAGUGUCUUAAACACAAUUAUAUUGCCAACUGCAAUAAAUGUAAAUGGACUUAAUCAAAAAGCAACGAUCGUAAAAAGUCAAUCUGAAAGCAAGAUGCAACUAUAUGCUAUCUAAAAGAAAGACAUUAAAUGACCAAUAAGCUGAAAAUAAAAACACAGCAAAAUGAUAUAAUGUGCAAAAAUUAAUCAUAAGAAAGGAAUGGAUACACUAAUAUCAAAGUAGACUUUAGAUAAGGAACAUUACCAGCGAUAAACAGAGACAUUUCAUAAUGAUAAAGACAUCAAUUAAUCAAGGAGAUCUAACAGUCCUAAAUGUGAACACACCUAAGGACACAA